UAUAUUUUUAUAAAUCAAAAAAGUUUGGUUUUGGCUUAUGGAAAUUUCUUUCUGAUAAUUGAACAUGCUAAUUUUUACGUGAUUUUUGAAUUUCUAAAAGAAAUGUUUCGAUUUAUUUGCAGUUCUAAGUUUUAAAAAUUUAGGGAAUUAAGAUUUAGUUAAUUAGAGAAGUUUCGACUAAAAUUGUGCCAGCAGUCGCGGUUAUACAAUUGUAAACGGGAAAUUUUUUUUGGCGGAAUCAUUUAAUUUUAAUUUUUUAGAAAAUAAGUUUUUUUUAAGUGAAAUUAUGGGAAUUUGAAAUUAUUUGGUUUAUGAAUUAAGAAAAUGAGAAAGUUUAUAAUAGAAGAAGGAUUAGAUACCCUUUUACUAUGAAUUGUUAAGAUUUGCCUUAGUAUUAAUAGAUGAAGUCUUUAAAUUAAAAGAAUUUGGCGGUAAUUUAGUCUUUCUAGAGGAACCUGUCCUGUAAUUGAUGAUCCACGAUGAAUUUUACUUUACUUGAACUUGUAUAUCUCUGUCAUUGAAUGUUUUAUGAGGAUAUUUUCAUUAAUUUUUAUGAAUAAUAUGUCAGGUCAAGGUGCAGUUGUAGUAAAGAAGAGAUGGGUUACAUUGUAAUUAUAUUUGAAUGGAUUUAUGGAAAUGUUCUUAAAAUUGGAUUUAGGAGUAAUUUUAAUUAAAUUAUUAUUUUGAUUUAGCUCUAAAUUAUGCACACAUCGCCCGUCGCUCUCAUUAAUAAGGUGAGAUAAGUCGUAACAAAGUAGGCCCACCGGAAGGUAGGCCUGGAAAUAA
rnacentral:ncRNA from 1 species